GAGCUCAAACAAGGUGAAGAGAAUCUUAAACCAAAUCAACAAAGCCCAACUUGAAGGGGCUCUCAAAGGCCCAAUUCAGGAAGCUAAGGAAGGACUCGAGGAGCAUGAGGCCUUUAUUACCCAAGGAGAAGCCAGGCCAAGGCCUUUUGGCCAAGAGGGCCCUCGGCCAAGAAGGGUUACACAAGUUGACGGCCUUGCCCGUAUAUGCGGGCUUGCAGAUGUGCAGAAAGGGCAGCCUACACAAUGCGGGAGACCCGCACACAUGAGGGCAAAUUGCACUUACUUCCUGUUCCUUUUGUGAGUUGAACUUUUAUAGAUUUCUUCUUCUUCAACUUGAGGCCAAGAUGAGUUAUGGAGGUUAGGACUCUAUUUAAGGAAAAAAAAUCAAGGAGAAAAGAGUCAUUGAAUGAGCAAUACGCGACAAAAGCCAAUCUUAAAGGUUCUCUUGUGCGGGUUGAGUCCUAUUGCGAAUAGGGACUUUAUUUCUCUUAUUUUCCACAUGUUUUGUGAAGAUGGCAGGAAGAAGAAAUAUAAACAUGGAAGAAUCCUAAAGACAAAUCUAAGGAAGAGAGAAGCUUCAACUAUCCUAGAUUAUUAUUUUAUU
rnacentral:lncRNA from 1 species